UGGGGAAUAUUGCACAAUGGGCGAAAGCCUGAUGCAGCAACGCCGCGUGAGCGAUGAAGGCCUUUGGGUCGUAAAGCUCUGUCCUUGGGGAAGAAAAAAAUGACGGUACCCAUGGAGGAAGCCCCGGCUAACUACGUGCCAGCAGCCGCGGUAAUACGUAGGGGGCGAGCGUUAUCCGGAAUUAUUGGGCGUAAAGAGUGCGUAGGUGGUUACGUAAGCGCGAGGUGAAAGGCAAUAGCUCAACUAUUGUAAGCCUUGCGAACUGUGUGACUUGAGUGCAGGAGAGGAAAGCGGAAUUCCUAGUGUAGCGGUGAAAUGCGUAGAUAUUAGGAGGAACACCGGUGGCGAAGGCGGCUUUCUGGACUGUAACUGACACUGAGGCACGAAAGCGUGGGGAGCAAACA
rnacentral:rRNA from 1 species